CCUGUAACUCCGCCUGUAGCUCUUAUAGGGUUGCUGCCGGUCCCAAGCCCGGGUAAAGGAGGAGGGUUGG
rnacentral:ribozyme from 1 species